rnacentral:rRNA from 1 species
GAUCCCGGAGAUGGAUUCUGAGACAUGAAUCCAGGCCCUACGGGGCGCAGCAGGCGCGCAAACUUUACAAUGCGAGCAAUCGUGAUAAGGAAACCCUGAGUGCCUGUCGAUGCAGGCUGUUCAUAUAUCUAAAUCAUAUGUGAAGAAAGGGCAGGGCAAGACCGGUGCCAGCCGCCGCGGUAAUACCGGCUGCUCGAGUGAUGGCCACUAUUACUGGGUUUAAAGCGUCCGUAGCUUGACUGUUAGGUCUCUUGGGAAAUCUUCGCGCUCAACGUGAAGGCGUCUAAGA